UAUCCUUUGUGUCCCCUUUCUUCCAAGAGCUCUCUACUCUUUGCUUGUUCAGAUGUUGGAAGAGUUUUGAGUGGCAAGUAUAUUGGGUCGAUUCUUUUGCCUGCCUUUAGCUCUCUGUGACUGUGACAGUGAUGGAUAAUCUUCAAUGUCACCUUGACUGCAUUGAGAAACAGCUUGGAGAUGUGUAAAGCAAAUCUCUGGGGGAGUCUGUGACAAAAGGACCCACCUAAGUGUCUGUAAUGUCAUCACUUAAGCUGGGGGAAUCGAAAAGAAAAGAAGGUCUGUGCUGCAGGCCUUCUCCUUCAGCUUCCUGGCCACCAUGAUGUGAGCAUCUCUGUCAUGAGGGACGAAGGUCUGUGAAGCUGUGCGUCCAGAUAAAGCUUCCUUUAACUUGUCCUUCUCAGAUAUUUGUCACAACAGAAAAAAACCGAUGAUUACAAAUUACCCGAGACAAACAGCUCAGAAGGAAGGAAGGUUCCUUAGCAAACAGUAAGAGAGGAAGGGGCAGGGGCCGUGCGUUAGUUUCCUUUCCUCGGUCUGUGAUGCAGUACCCUGACAAAAGCAUCUGAAUAAAGGCUUCUCCUGGCUCACACACAGUUCAAUAGUUCAUUCCAUCAGGACCGGAAGUGCGUGGAAUGCCCACAGGAAGUCUUGUAUUCACAGCUAGGAAGUGGAGAGUGAGCAGGAAAUGCAACAUUUUUCUUCUUCUGUGACCUAGUUCUUCUUCUGUGACCUAGUUCUUCUUCUGUGACCUAGUUCUUCCAGCAAAGUUUAACUUCUUAGCAGUGUUUCAAUUUCCCCAAGAGGUAUGCUCUCCCCGGGCCAAGUAUUGAGAAACAUGAACUUGAGGGGACAUUUCACAUUUAAAUCACAAGUCAGGACAGCCCCUUCCUUCCAGGGCAUACUCCCAAAGACCUAAUUUCUGUUCACCAGACCUCACCAUCUAAAAACUGCACUACAUCAGAUAGCACCUGAGGCUGGUAGCAAAGCCAUUGUCAUAUGAGUCUUUGAGGGCCCCACUCCACAAUACCCAGGGCAGUUAACUGCAUUUUUUCCUUUUCUCAACCACAGAAAAGUAUAAAUAAAUAAAAAUUGGGCAAAAGAGAAGAGCUCUGACGUUCUGUUAAAUAUGGGAUACUAGUGUUGAAAAUGUGGACUUUUGUGAGUCUUUACCGACUUUGUUCAUGAAAGAAACUCAUCACUGAGGGUUUUCUAUGAGUAUCGACCUUCAGAACAUAAGAUGCUUUUAGUUGGGUAUCUAUGCCAACUCUGCAUUCCAAUGAGCCCCUGCAUGGCUCUUAAUCCUUGAAAUUCAGCACUUUUGCCUGGAUCAAUCACUGGAUGUGCUGUAAGGAAAUAUGCCAUGGCUGCUGAAGCACUCUUCACGUGUAAACCACACAAGUGCCACAUAUUCCACUC
rnacentral:lncRNA from 1 species